AGGCAUGGUAGGCGCUGGCCUGCGGAGCGGGGCUGAGGGUCGGGAACUUCCCGCUAGCUGAGGGCGGGUGUCGAAGCUCCGUUCUAUGAUCUGCGCCUUUGCCAGGACUGCCGAUAUGUCUCGAGCUCCAUCACCAAUAAGUGCUGUCUGAUCGCUGGGCGGAGGCCCCACUAGAAUUUCCUGGCCUUUCGGCCCUCAUCCAACAAUGUCUCCGGGGCAUGUCGGCCCAGCUCUAGGAACUUGUGGGCAUACUCCGACACUGUCAUAUUACCCUGGACCAAUUGAGCAAAUUCCAAUUCCUUUAAAUGUUGGAUGUGUUUAGGGAGAUACUCCGCAUGGAAGGCCGCUAGGAACUGCUCCCAAGUAACUGGUACAGGCAGGGUGGCCCGCUUGAGCUCCCACCAGCGUACCGCUUCCCCUACCAGCAUGUAGGAGGCAAUGGCAGUCCUCUGCUCAGGAAUUACUCCCAAG
rnacentral:lncRNA from 1 species